GUCGAGAAUCAUUCACAAUGGGCGAAAGCCUGAUGGUGUGACGCCGCGUGGAGGAUGACGGUCUUCGGAUUGUAAACUCCUGUCAUGUGAGAGUAAGAACCAGGGAGUAACUGCCUGUGGUUUUGAGAGUAUCACAAGAGGAAGAGGCGGCUAACUCUGUGCCAGCAGCCGCGGUAAUACAGAGGCCUCAAGCGUUGUUCGGAAUCACUGGGCGUAAAGGGUGCGUAGGCGGCGCGGAAAGUCAGGGGUGAAAUCCCGGAGCUCAACUCCGGAACUGCCUUUGAUACUCCCGCGCUUGAGAACUGGAGGGGACAUCGGAAUUCACGGUGGAGCAGUGAAAUGCGUGGAUAUCGUGAGGAACACUAGUGGCGAAGGCGGAUGUCUGGACAGUAUCUGACGCUGAGGCACGAAGGCCAGGGGAGCGAACGGGAUUAGAUACCCUAGUAGUCC
rnacentral:rRNA from 1 species